rnacentral:rRNA from 1 species
GUGGGGAAUUUUGGACAAUGGGCGAAAGCCUGAUCCAGCCAUGCCGCGUGCAGGAUGAAGGCCUUCGGGUUGUAAACUGCUUUUGUACGGAACGAAAAGACUCUGGUUAAUACCUGGGGUCCAUGACGGUACCGUAAGAAUAAGCACCGGCUAACUACGUGCCAGCAGCCGCGGUAAUACGUAGGGUGCAAGCGUUAAUCGGAAUUACUGGGCGUAAAGCGUGCGCAGGCGGUUAUAUAAGACAGAUGUGAAAACCCCAGGCUCAAACUGGGAACUGCAUUUGUGACUGUAUAGCUAGAGUACGGCAGAGGGGGAUGGAAUUCCGCGUGUAGCAGUGAAAUGCGUAGAUAUGCGGAGGAACACCGAUGGCGAAGGCAAUCCCCUGGGCCUGUACUGACGCUCAUGCACGAAAGCGUGGGGAGCAAACAGGAUUAGAAACCCGAGUAGUCC